rnacentral:rRNA from 1 species
UACGUAGGGUGCAAGCGUUGUCCGGAAUUAUUGGGCGUAAAGAGCUCGUAGGCGGCUUGUCACGUCGAUUGUGAAAGCCCGAGGCUUAACCUCGGGUCUGCAGUCGAUACGGGCUAGCUAGAGUGUGGUAGGGGAGAUCGGAAUUCCUGGUGUAGCGGUGAAAUGCGCAGAUAUCAGGAGGAACACCGGUGGCGAAGGCGGAUCUCUGGGCCAUUACUAACGCUGAGGAGCGAAAGCGUGGGGAGCGAACAGG